rnacentral:lncRNA from 1 species
CUUUUAGUGAUGGGUCCAUGAUGGGCUUGGACCCAAGUCACCAUCCCCUCUCCCUUGGAAAGGAUUUGUCCUCAAAUCUGGUGGUUGCUUAAGGACUUAUUUUUGUAGUCUUCAUAGAUCUUCCACCUGGGUCAAAUAUUAAUCUGCAAUAAACAUCAAACAUAUUUCUAAUUAGUUUUCUNUGACCCAACAAAAUGUAUAAAACAAAAUGUUUAGAAGAAGGCUUCCUAAUGUUGAUUUGUUCAAGUUUUGUAAUUUUAUGAAGCCUUANUUCUUUUGAAA